rnacentral:misc_RNA from 1 species
GUUAUUAUUAAAUAUAAAGUUAGACAAUGCCGUGUUCAGUCCCAUGUAAAAAUAGGACGAGUUCAGUCAACUACUCGAGAGCUAUACAGCCCCAAGUCUAUUAAAAGUGUCCAAAAAUGAUCCUUCCGCAGGUUCACCUACGGAAA